GACGGUGCACAAGAAGCUGGGAGGGAACACAGCCAGGAAAGCUGACCCAAACUGGACAAAUAUCACAUGAUAUCCCACUGAAUAUAAAACUAGGAGAAAAGCUAGCCAGGAGCCUACUGCUCAGGAACUGGCUGCACAUCAGUGGGCAAGUGUCAUGAAGAUAUAAGACUGAAAGAGGUCUCACGUAGCCAUCCAGUCCAUAAUUCUGGUCCAGGGCAGAAUCAUCUACACUUACAGCAUUCCUGCUGAAAAAUUUCCAGUGAUUUUUUCUUCUUCUGUGUAAGAUGCUACCCUAAGCAAUGAUAUUUCCUGAUUGAGGAGGUUGAUAACAGCAAUCAAGAAACAUCAAAUCCAGCAUAGUUUUGCAUAUGAAUAAGCAUAUGAUAACUGAGACUUCUGAACAGAUUUUGACAGUUGAAUUCCAGAAUGUCAGAAUAAACAUAAAAGGUUGAAGGAAUAAUGUUCAUUAUAAUUAAAUAAAAUUUAUUAUGAAUAUAGAAUAAUAUAUUGGGAGGAACAAUAGUGAGGCAAACCAUUUGUC